UCUCCGUUGGUGAACCAGCGGAGGGAUCAUUACAGGAUCGAAAGACUCCUAUAACCCCUGUGAACUUACUACAAAUACGUUGCUUCGGCGGGUGCCCCGGGUCUCCCGGGGCGUUCAGCCCGCCGGCAGCCUUCAAAUUCUGUUUCUUUGCGUUGGCAUCUCGCGUAUACAAAAAUAAGUUAAAACUUUCAACAACGGAUCUCUUGGUUCUG
rnacentral:misc_RNA from 1 species